rnacentral:rRNA from 1 species
AUUGAACGCUGGCGGCAUGCUUUACACAUGCAAGUCGAACGGUAACAGGCCGCAAGGUCCUGACGAGUGGCGCACGGGUGAGUAUUGCAUCGGCACGUGCCCAGUCGUGGGGGAUAACUACUCGAAAGAGUAACUAAUACCGCAUACGAUCUAUGGCUGAGAGCGGGGGACCGCAAGGCUUCGCGCGAUUGGAGCGGCCGAUGUCAGAUUAGGUAGUUGGUGGGGUAAAGGCUCACCAAGCCAACGAUCUGUAGAUGGUCUGAGAGGACGACCAGCCACACUGGGACUGAGACACGGCCCAGACUCCUACGGGAGGCAGCAGUGGGGAAUUUUGGACAAUGGGCGCAAGCCUGAUCCAGCAAUGCCGCGUGCAGGAAGAAGGCCUUCGGGUUGUAAACUGCUUUUGUACGGAACGAAACGGCUCUGGUUAAUACCCGGGGCUAAUGACGGUACCGUAAGAAUAAGCACCGGCUAACUACGUG